rnacentral:rRNA from 1 species
UAAGGAAUAUUGGUCAAUGGACGAAAGUCUGAACCAGCCAUGCCGCGUGGAGGAUGAAGGCCCUCUGGGUUGUAAACUUCUUUUAUCUGGGACGAAAAAAGGUUUUUCUAAAUCGUCUGACGGUACCAGAUGAAUAAGCACCGGCUAACUCCGUGCCAGCAGCCGCGGUAAUACGGAGGGUGCAAGCGUUAUCCGGAUUUACUGGGUUUAAAGGGUGCGUAGGUGGGUUGGUAAGUCAGUGGUGAAAUCUCCGAGCUUAACUUGGAAACUGCCAUUGAUACUAUCAGUCUUGAAUAUUGUGGAGGUUAGCGGAAUAUGUCAUGUAGCGGUGAAAUGCUUAGAUAUGACAUAGAACACCAAUUGCGAAGGCAGCUGACUACGCAUAUAUUGACACUGAGGCACGAAAGCGUGGGGAUCAAACA